AUUGAACGCUGGCGGCAGGCCUAACACAUGCAAGUCGAACGAGUGGCGGACGGGUGAGUAAUGUCUGGGAAACUGCCUGAUGGAGGGGGAUAACUACUGGAAACGGUAGCUAAUACCGCAUACCAUCAGAUGUGCCCAGAUGGGAUUCGCUAGUAGGUGGGGUAAUGGCUCACCUAGGCGACGAACCCUAGCUGGUCUGAGAGGAUGACGAGCCACACUGGAACUGAGACAUGGUCCAGACUCCUACGGGAGGCAGCAGUGGGGAAUAUUGCACAAUGGGCGCAAGCCUGAUGCAGCCACGCCGCGUGUGGUAAGAAGGCCUUCGGUUUGUAAAGCACUUUCAGCGAGUGCGCGUUACUCGCGGAAGAAGCACCGGCUAACUCCGUGCCAGCAGCCGCGGUAAUUC
rnacentral:rRNA from 1 species